rnacentral:rRNA from 1 species
CUUAAAGUAGCGAAGGUCCGUGAGCCAUGCGUCAAGAAAAGCCGCUAUUGUUUAUACCGUACCCGUACCGUAAACCGACACAGGUGGAUGAGGAGAGAAUCCUAAGGCCGGCGGAAGAAGCAUUGUCAAGGAACUCGGCAAAAUGGCCCCGUAACUUAGGGAUAAGGGGUGCCUGGGAAACCAGGCCGCAGAGAAUAGGCUCAAGCAACUGUUUAGCAAAAACACAGGUCUAUGCGAAACCGAAAGGUGAGGUAUAUGGGCUGACGCCUGCCCGGUGCUGGAAGGUUAAGAGGAGAGGUUAGCGCAAGCGAAGCUUUGAAUUUAAGCCCCAGUAAACGGCGGCCGUAACAAUAACGGUCCUAAGGUAGCGAAAUUCCUUGUCGGGUAAGUUCCGACCCGCACGAAAGGCGUAAUGAUUUGAGCGCUGUCUCGACAAUGCAUCCGGUGAAAUUGAAGUACCAGUGAAGAUGCUGGUUACCUGCGCCAGGACGGAAAGACCCCAUGGAGCUUUACUCCAGUCUGGUACUGGGACUCGGUAUUGCAUGUACAGGAUAGGUGGGAGGCUAGGAGAUGGUAACGCCAGUUGCCAUGGAGCCGCUGUUGGGAUACCACCCCUGCAGUAUUGGGUUUCUAACCAGCCGCCGUGACCCGGUGGUGGGACAAUGCCAGACGGGGAGUUUGACUGGGGCGGUCGCCUCCGAAAGGGUAUCGGAGGCGCCCAAAGGUUCCCUCAGAAUGGACGGAAACCAUUCGAAGAGUGCAAAGGCAGAAGGGAGCUUGACUGCGACACCGACGGGUGGAGCAGGUACGAAAGUAGGGCUUAGUGAUCUGGUGGUAUUAAGUGGGAAUGCCAUCGCUCAACGGAUAAAAGCUACCCUGGGAUAACAGGCUUAUCACUCCCAAGAGUUCACAUCGACGGAGUGGUUUGGCACCUCGAUGUCGGCUCAUCGCAUCCUGGGGCUGUAGUAGGUCCCAAGGGUUGGGCUGUUCGCCCAUUAAAGCGGUACGCGAGCUGGGUUCAGAACGUCGUGAGACAGUUCGGUCCCUAUCCGGCGUGGGCGUAGGAUAUCUGAGAGGAGCUGUCCUUAGUACGAGAGGACCGGGAUGGACGGGCCGCUGGUGCAUCGGUUAGACUGCCAAGUCUACGGCCGAGUAGCCAAGCCCGGAAGGGAUAAACGCUGAAGGCAUCUAAGCGUGAAGCCCCCCUUAAGAUGAGAUAUCCCAUUCGAAAGAAGUAAACCCCCUUGAAGACGACGAGGUAGAUAGGGCAGAGGUGGAAGUGUGGCAACACAUGGAGCUGACUGUUACUAAUCGGGUGAGGGCUUGUC